GACGGGGGAUGCAAGCGUUAUCCGGAAUCACUGGGCGUAAAGCGUCUGUAGGAGGUGAUGCAAGUCACUGGUGCAAAACUCUGGCUCAACCGGAGGAAAGCCUGUGAAACUGCAUGACUAGAGUGUGGGAGAGGUAGAAGGAAUUCCCUGAGUAGCGGUGAAAUGCGUAGAAACAGGGAAGAACACCGGAUGAAAAACCGUUCUACGGGAUAUCACCUGACACUGAGAGACGAGAGCUAGGGGAGCGAAUGGG
rnacentral:rRNA from 1 species